ACUUUCCAUGAUGACCGUUGAGUGAGAGAAGAUGAUGGCAGCUCCUGCGUUUAAAAAGGAACCAUCCGCGUAACUGCCACAGGCAGGGCCCGUGCUCGGGCAGUGAGGCCUCGGCCCUGAGAAGGCCCGGACCCCACAGGCCUGGCCCUGGCUGAGAGGGAGUUGGAGUCCCCCGCCUGGGGCAGCCCCUCUGCACCUGGGGUGGUGGAGCAGGAGCUUGGCUGCAGGCGGGGCUUUCCUCCCAGCUCUGGGAGCCACCUUGCUGCAAACGCUGUGACUGCAACCUCUGCCACCCAGGUUCAAGCGAUUCUCCCGCCUCAGCCUCCCGAGUAGCUGGGAUUACAAGGCACCUGACACCAUGCCCAGUUAAUUUUUGUAUUCUUCCUAGAGACGGGGUUUCACCAUGUUACUCAGGAUGGUCUCAAACUCCUGAUCUCAGAUGAUCCGCACGCCUCCACCUCCCAAAGUGCUGGGAUUACAGGCGUGAGCCACCAUGCUCGGCCUAGGUGACUUUUCAUGGGGAGAUAACACACAGGCAUGGUGAGCAGCGUGGCAGAGGACCUGUGUGCAGGGCCGUCUCCCGCCGGGGAAUCCUUCAUCUGGGAAAUCUCCGCUGCGGGACAGGAAUGCUGUGUGUCACUGAAAUGCUGCAGGAGACUGGGCAGUCUGUCUCCACAGUCAGGGAAAGAGCAGCAGGACGCAGCGUCUCUCCAGGGCACCCGGGCCUCCUCUGAGCCUCUUUACGCUCUUUGGCUGCGUGCUUUCUUCUCUGUGGCAAAAGCAACACAGGCGGGUACAAACCCGAACAGUGCAGACAUGGAGGAGACAGAAAGUGAAAAUGGUUUCUGAGCCCCUCUAGCCACCCUCUGGGGACACCAGCCUGGCGUUCUUCAGACACAAGCACUCCCUGCAGCCAGGAAGAGGAGGAGGCAGCUGGGUCUUGGGCGCAGAGGGACCACCCUGUGAGGACAUAGGGAGCAGGUUAGAUCUGCCUGUCCCGGAAUUUCACCUGAAUCACAAAGCGUGGCGCCUCGGGGCCUGGCUCCCUUCACGUGGCCUGAUGUCUGCAUAUUCAUCCGCCAUGCAGUGUGUGUCCACGGUUCAUUUUGUGUUGCCACGUAGCAUCUCAUUGUGUGGCCCUAGCCCAGUGUGUUAAUCCGUUCACCUGCUGGUGGGUGUUGCAGUGGUUUCCAGCUCUUGGUUAUCACAGAGAAAGUGACUGUGAACUUCCGCACACACGUUUUGCUGAGGACAACUCCUUCCAUUUCACUUGGUUACUAGGAGUGGAGUUGCGGGGUCCUAGGGAAGGGUCCACGUCUGACAAGUCCACCAUGGCUGCCCUUCUGGGCCUGUUGCUGCUGACUCACGUUCCCACGGCCACCUUUCCCUGCGUCUGGACAUAGCAGCAAUUUCUCGUUGGAUGUGGACAUUGUGCUGUGACGG